GUAAUGUAUGUCUUGCUUGUAAAUAAAUCUGCUAUUAGUGAAUACAAUAUUCUUCCCAUAAUUUCUACGUUCAAAGGAAUGGAAUAUAAAAACCAAUAAAUGACGAAAAUUCACUUAAAGUAUAAAUGAUUAUAAUGUAGAGGUAAAGCAGAAUAAUCACCUAUCUUUUAAUUAUAACAAAACUUCCGAUGAAAUUAAUCAAAUGCAUCAAAAGGACCUGAUGUGCUCUUGAUUUCUUACACAAAAAAUAUACUACCCCGGGGUAUAAAUCGAUGCUAAAAAUUCGUUUCAAAUCGUUAGAAGAAUUCAAAAGUGGAAUAGCUUUUACAUAUGAAAAUAUAACGAAUAAUCUCAAAAAUUGGACCUACAUUUUUAUUCCCUUAAUACAAAUACUGCUUAAGUUAUAUG